GCCCAGCUUGCUGGGUGGAUCAGUGGCGAACGGGUGAGUAACACGUGAGCAAUCUGCCCCUGACUCUGGGAUAAGCGCUGGAAACGGCGUCUAAUACUGGAUAUGAACCGUGGAGGCAUCUUCAACGGUUGGAAAGAUUUUUUGGUCAGGGAUGAGCUCGCGGCCUAUCAGCUUGUUGGUGAGGUAAUGGCUCACCAAGGCGUCGACGGGUAGCCGGCCUGAGAGGGUGACCGGCCACACUGGGACUGAGACACGGCCCAGACUCCUACGGGAGGCAGCAGUGGGGAAUAUUGCACAAUGGGCGCAAGCCUGAUGCAGCAACGCCGCGUGAGGGAUGACGGCCUUCGGGUUGUAAACCUCUUUUAGCAGGGAAGAAGCGAAAGUGACGGUACCUGCAGAAAAAGCGCCGGCUAACUACGUGCCAGCAGCCGCGGUAAUACGUAGGGCGCAAGCGUUAUCCGGAAUUAUUGGGCGUAAAGAGCUCGUAGGCGGUUUGUCGCGUCUGCUGUGAAAUCCCGAGGCUCAACCUCGGGUCUGCAGUGGGUACGGGCAGACUAGAGUGCGGUAGGGGAGAUUGGAAUUCCUGGUGUAGCGGUGGAAUGCGCAGAUAUCAGGAGGAACACCGAUGGCGAAGGCAGAUCUCUGGGCCGUAACUGACGCUGAGGAGCGAAAGGGUGGGGAGCAAACAGGCUUAGAUACCCUGGUAGUCCACCCCGUAAACGUUGGGAACUAGUUGUGGGGUCCAUUCCACGGAUUCCGUGACGCAGCUAACGCAUUAAGUUCCCCGCCUGGGGAGUACGGCCGCAAGGCUAAAACUCAAAGGAAUUGACGGGGACCCGCACAAGCGGCGGAGCAUGCGGAUUAAUUCGAUGCAACGCGAAGAACCUUACCAAGGCUUGACAUAUACGAGAACGCUGCAGAAAUGUAGAACUCUUUGGACACUCGUAAACAGGUGGUGCAUGGUUGUCGUCAGCUCGUGUCGUGAGAUGUUGGGUUAAGUCCCGCAACGAGCGCAACCCUCGUUCUAUGUUGCCAGCACGUAAUGGUGGGAACUCAUGGGAUACUGCCGGGGUCAACUCGGAGGAAGGUGGGGAUGACGUCAAAUCAUCAUGCCCCUUAUGUCUUGGGCUUCACGCAUGCUACAAUGGCCGGUACAAAGGGCUGCAAUACCGUAAGGUGGAGCGAAUCCCAAAAAGCCGGUCCCAGUUCGGAUUGAGGUCUGCAACUCGACCUCAUGAAGUCGGAGUCGCUAGUAAUCGCAGAUCAGCAACGCUGCGGUGAAUACGUUCCCGGGUCUUGUACACACCGCCCGUCAAGUCAUGAAAGUCGGUAACACCUGAAGCCGGUGGCCCAACCCU
rnacentral:rRNA from 1 species